rnacentral:lncRNA from 1 species
UAAUAUUCAGAUGUUAUAUCGUAUGUAUUCACAUGGAUGUCCACUUUAUUAAGAUGAUUUAUGUUUUUGUAUUUGGUGCAAGGAAGAGUCUGAUUCCAUGAGCAAGACAAGAUGACUGGUUUAGUGAAAGUUAUCGAGGUGGGAUGGGUGCUCAUCCGAGAAAGGGAUAUGCAAACAGAAUUUGUGGCUUCAGAAUGAGUUGGACAACUAUUCAUAGUGUUGAAGUACAUAUUCGAUUACUUUUGCUCACUUAUUCAUAACUGAAUAAUAGUUAUUCAGAACUUAUUG